rnacentral:lncRNA from 1 species
GAAAGAACUCGUGCUAUGCCAGGUGCCAUAAACGAGAAGGGUUAGUACGAUGGUUUAGUCCACUGCAUGUACGAUGCCAUCCCGAACGGCGUAGCUCCUUCGCAUACCUUCGGGCUGCAGCCUUUGCACGAUUAUGAAUGAUGCGAAAUUCAACAUUUUUUGGGUGACGUUUGGCUUGCUGUUGUGCCCUAAGCCUUGAAGCUAUGAGGUUCAGCAUGUGCAAGUCCGGAGCAGGAUCUUUCCAACUCGUGCGCGUCGCCUUUGUAGCCCUCUGCUUUGCUAUUUUUAGUCUGUCCAGGAAAGAACCCGUGCCAUCCACGUACAACUUGCGGAAACGGUC